rnacentral:rRNA from 1 species
GACGAACGCUGGCGGCGUGCCUAAUACAUGCAAGUCGAGCGAACGGACGAGAAGCUUGCUUCUCUGAUGUUAGCGGCGGACGGGUGAGUAACACGUGGAUAACCUACCUAUAAGACUGGGAUACUUCGGGAAACCGGAGCUAAUACCGGAUAAUAUUUUGAACCGCAUGGUUCAAAAGUGAAAGACGGUCUUGCUGUCACUUAUAGAUGGAUCCGCGCUGCAUUAGCUAGUUGGUAAGGUAACGGCUUACCAAGGCAACGAUGCAUAGCCGACCUGAGAGGGUGAUCGGCCACACUGGAACUGAGACACGGUCCAGACUCCUACGGGAGGCAGCAGUAGGGAAUCUUCCGCAAUGGGCGAAAGCCUGACGGAGCAACGCCGCGUGAGUGAUGAAGGUCUUCGGAUCAUAAAACUCUGUUAUUAGGGAAGAACAUAUGUGUAAGUAACUGUGCACAUCUUGACGGUACCUAAUCAGAAAGCCACGGCUAACUACGUG